AUUUAGUCCAGGGAACUCUAAACUGGUUCUCAAAAGAAGACUUCCUGGACUUGCCUUCUCUGUCACCCAGUCCACAAUGUCAUUGAUGUUCAUCAGGAAAGCCAGAAUCUCAGGGAGGACAACCUGACAGAGUCUACCUAUAGGGAAGUGACAAUGAGACAAGACAGGCACAGAACUCUUUGCUGUGAGAGAAUCCACGCUGUUGGGAGACAGUUCUCCAUGGGUCUCUGUACUUCUGCACAUCUUAUAAACAGAGACACUGGCAACUUCUGCUUCAGACUAUCUUUUCAGGGAUGUUUGUGUAGUGAAGACAGAUUGUUUCCAGGAGAAGGCAGAUUUGUUUGCCCACUAAUAUGAUAAAGAUAAUGGCUCCCUCUGGGGCAAAGAUGGGAGAGGCUUGAUGGUGGCCCUUUUAAAAGAUUGGGGUUUCCUAGGUUUGGGGUUCCUCAAUUCUGACACAAACCCAGUGUAUGAGCAGAAGCUGCCUGGUCCUACAGUCAAAAUGAUGUCCAAAGGAAGAGGAACUGGUGUUAGCACGGAGCUCUGCUGGCUACGGUAUUGUGAGUGAUAAAAUCCUUUCUCUUUGAUGCAGGAGGUUGGAGUCUUCUGCUGACAUCAAGGAAGCUGUGUCAGGCUAACUUGUUGGCUUAAAGAAUGCAGACUGGAUGGCUGGAACAUGGGCAACUAACGGGGCCAUGAAGCAAAAGCCACAUGUUGAGGAUGGCAGAGGUAAAAAAAAAAAAUCAAGAGACUUUGGAAUCCCAACAGCACACAGUGCCAUGCCUGCAUAGCUUUUCCUGAAUCCAGACUUCCAGAACAAGAGAGAAAAAUGAACUUCAAUUGCUUUUAGCUACUGUUAUUUUAAACUGUGGGCUACUCUAAGCUGAGCCAUACUGUAAAGGUUACAAUGGCAAAGGAUCAGGCCUCUAUUUCAAACAUUGGUUCCUAGGAUGUUGGCAGAAUAAACAUAAAUGCAGUAAGAAUAUCAUAACUAGCAUACGACUUCGGAAGGAGAAGAGAAAUACUCCGUCAUAAUUUCUGAAGUCCUAGCAGGACUCUGAGGCUUCUAUCACUGUUUACAGAAAUCUAAUAUCCUGCUGAUAUCAUGACAGAAGAAGUUGAAAAGGCCUCUUUUGAAGCUGUCUUCCAGAAUGUAGGAAGUGAAUCACACUUCUCCAUUCAUUAAACAGGUUGCAUUAACUUCCUAGAAGACCAGAAAAUUAAUACAGAAUAGAGGAGCCUACCUCCCAGUGAAAGGACAUUUAAUUAGUAGAUCUAUGAGAGUUACUUUCCUAGCUAGAGUUUUUCAAUUUGGAACUUUUCUGAGCAGCUAUUACACAAUCUUAACAAGAAUGUACAGAAAAUCAAUAAACUGAAAAGUUCAAUGUAGUAUAAUAUGACUAAACUUGGAAAUAUUGUGCAAUGCGGCAUUAUACUGAGCUAAUCCUAGCAGAUUCUUUUCUUGUUACUACAAUCCCUCCUAAUGCAUUAUAGUCCUCAGGUAAUGUACUUUUACUUUAAGGCAAAGUCAUUUCUGUGCAGCAGGGAGUGAUCCCUUGAGGAAAUUUGAUCUCAAGUCUUUUUUUUUUUUAUUUAAGGCAAAAUGAAUGUCAGGUAAAAUGUCUAGAUAACCCCUUGAAAACUCAGAACUCAUGCACACUGAAUAAUUGCUAUGUGAAGUAAAGAAUGAGUAAAUGCAUGAAAUAGCAAAUACAGCAGGAUUGUUUUCAGAUCAGUAAACUGUGCAUAGGUUAUGCAAUGCUAGGACUAAGACCAUUCUGGAGCGCAGGAGUGUAUGAUUUUUCCCAUGGAUUUGUGAAGGAGAGAUCAGCUUUUAAGAUUUCUUUUAGUGGGGAGGGGAGUUCUUUUUAUUCUUUGAAUUUGGGAGUUGGAUCUCAAGAUCAUCCUGUAAUAGUCAAUGGGUCCUAAAUCCAAUGGCAUGUGUCCUUUUAAAAGACUCACAAAGUAGGCCAACCAAAGAGAAAGAAGCAGUGUAACUAUGGAGGCAGAGAUUGGAGUGAUGUAGCCACAAGCUGAGGAAUGCCAGCCACCACCAUUAGCUGGAAGAGGCAAGGAAUGAAAGACAAUUUCCCCUAGAACCUCUGGAGAGAGUGUGCCCCUGCUGACCCCUGCAGUUUGGACUUCUGGCCUCCAGAACUCUGAGAGAAUACAUUUCUCUUGCAUUCAGCAACAGGUUUGUCAUCAUCUGUUCUGGAAGUCACAGAAAUCUAAUCCACCCAUGACACCCAUGAAGUAGAUACCAUCUUUAUUCACAUUUUACAGACAAGGAAACAAAAGGAGAGAUCAGCUCUUAAGAUUUUUUUUGAGGGGGAUGGAGUUCAUUUUAUUCUUUGAAUUUUGGAGUUGUUGAAUUUAACCUGCCUCUAAAACUGGCAUGCUUGUCAAUUUCAUCCAUGUGUGACUUUAUGAAUAACUGGAAAUUCAAAUGCUCUCAGUUGUGGAUGAUUUCUUUCUUCUUUCUCAUCUAUCAAUAACAACCCCCCAAAAUGUUAAGAAAAUCUUGAAGUAUUCUAUUCAAAAUGUUCAUCUGUUUGUAAAUUAGUGUAGCCAUGCCAUUGGCUAGAUCUCAAGAUCGUCCAGGCCCACUCAGUGUGAUGCCCCUUGAUACAG
rnacentral:lncRNA from 10 species